GACGAACGCUGGCGGCGUGCCUAAUACAUGCAAGUAGAACGCACAGUUUAUACCGUAGCUUGCUACACCAUAGACUGUGAGUUGCGAACGGGUGAGUAACGCGUAGGUAACCUGCCUGGUAGCGGGGGAUAACUAUUGGAAACGAUAGCUAAUACCGCAUAAUAUUAAUUAUUGCAUGAUAAUUAAUUGAAAGGUGCAAUUGCACCACUACCAGAUGGACCUGCGUUGUAUUAGCUAGUAGGUGAGGUAACGGCUCACCUAGGCGACGAUACAUAGCCGACCUGAGAGGGUGAUCGGCCACGCUGGGACUGAGACACGGCCCAGACUCCUACGGGAGGCAGCAGUAGGGAAUCUGCGGCAAUGGACGAAAGUCUGACCGAGCAACGCCGCGUGAGUGAAGAAGGUUUUCGGAUCGUAGAGCUCUGUUGUAAGAGAAGAACGGGUGUGAGAGUGGAAAGUUCACACUGUGACGGUAUCUUACCAGAAAGGGACGGCUAACUACGUG
rnacentral:rRNA from 1 species